CCUGCCCCCCCCUCCCUUACAUCGCCCCCCCCCCAAAUCAAACCCACCCGGCCCUGGGGACCGGGGGACGGGACCCCCCCAGCCGGGGGGGGGGCGGGGACAAAGGGGGGGUGAAUGAGGGGAGAUGGGGACCCCCCCCCGGGUGGGAUGGAGUGUGGGGGGGUGCUGGGGGCGCUGGGGGGGGGGUCUGCAUCCACCCCCCCCCCCCGGUGUCUGCAGCUGGAUGGGGCUGGUGGGGGUGUCCCAGUGCGUCCCAGUGCACCCAGUGCCUCCCAGUACAUCCAGUGUGUCCCACUGCCUCCCAAUACACCCAGUGUGUCCCAGUGCCUCCCAGUACACCCAGUGCGUCCCAGUACAUCCAGUGUCCCAGUGCUUUCCAGUACAUCCAGUGCAUCCCAGUGCCUCCCAGUACAUCCAGUGUGUUCCAGUAUAUCCAGUGCUUUCCAGUACAUCCAGUGUGUCCCAGUGUGUUCCAGUACAUCCAGUGCUUUCCAGUACAUCCAGCGUGUCCCAGUGCAUCCCUGUAUAUACUCAGUGCUCCCAGUGUGUCCCAGUGUACCCAGUGCAUCCCAGUAUACUCAGUGCCUCCCAGUAAGUCCCAGUGCCUCCCAGCACAUCCCAGUAUAUCCAGUUCCUCCCAGCACAUCCCAGUGUGUCCUAGUGCAUCUCAGUGCACCCAGUGUGUCCCAGUAUACCCAGUGCUUCCCAGUACAUCCCAGUGUACCCAGUGAGUCCCAGUGCCCCCAGCACAUCCCAGUGCCCCCAGUGCCUCCCAGUGCCCCGAGCAUCUCCCAGUAUAUCCCAGUGCCCCCAGUACAUCCUAGUGCCCCCAGUAUGGCCCAGUACACCCCAGUGCCCCCAGUGCCUCCCAGUGCCCCGAGCAUAUCCCAGUAUAUCCCAGUGCCCCCAGUACAUCCCAGUACCUCCCAGUUCUCCCAGCACAUCCCAGUACAUCCCAGUGCCCCCAGCAUGUCCCAGUACCUCCCAGUACAUCCCAGUGCCUCCCAGUGCCCCCAGUACAUCCCAGUUCUCCCAGCACAUCCCAGUGCCCCGCUGCCCGGAGCUGGGGGGGCUCCUCCCGCCCCCCCCCGUUACUGGGAGCCACUGGGGGUCACCGGGGGGCCACCCCCCCGUUACCCCCCCGUUACCCCCCCGGUGCCGCCCCCCUGUGCCCCCCCCCCCCGGUCCCGUCCCAGCGCCCCCGCCCCCCCCGAACCCCCCAGCCGGGGCCCCGGCGCCCCGGGCUGA
rnacentral:lncRNA from 1 species